rnacentral:rRNA from 1 species
CAUGCAAGUCGAACGAGAGAGAAGGAGCUUGCUUCUUCGAUCGAGUGGCGAACGGGUGAGUAACGCGUGAGGAACCUGCCUCAAAGAGGGGGACAACAGUUGGAAACGACUGCUAAUACCGCAUAAGCCCACGGGUCGGCAUCGAUCUGAGGGAAAAGGAGCAAUCCGCUUUGAGAUGGCCUCGCGUCCGAUUAGCUAGUUGGUGAGGUAACGGCCCACCAAGGCGACGAUCGGUAGCCGGACUGAGAGGUUGAACGGCCACAUUGGGACUGAGACACGGCCCAGACUCCUACGGGAGGCAGCAGUGGGGAAUAUUGCACAAUGGGGGAAACCCUGAUGCAGCGACGCCGCGUGGAGGAAGAAGGUCUUCGGAUUGUAAACUCCUGUUGUUGAGGAAGAUAAUGACGGUACUCAACAAGGAAGUGACGGCUAACUACGUGCCAGCAGCCGCGGUAAAACGUAGGUCACAAGCGUUGUCCGGAAUUACUGGGUGUAAAGGGAGCGCAGGCGGGAAGACAAGUUGGAAGUGAAAUCUAUGGGCUCAACCCAUAAACUGCUUUCAAAACUGUUUUUCUUGAGUAGUGCAGAGGUAGGCGGAAUUCCCGGUGUAGCGGUGGAAUGCGUAGAUAUCGGGAGGAACACCAGUGGCGAAGGCGGCCUACUGGGCACCAACUGACGCUGAGGCUCGAAAGUGUGGGUAGCAAACAGGAUUAGAUACCCUGGUAGUCCACACCGUAAACGAUGAUUACUAGGUGUUGGAGGAUUGACCCCUUCAGUGCCGCAGUUAACACAAUAAGUAAUCCACCUGGGGAGUACGACCGCAAGGUUGAAACUCAAAGGAAUUGACGGGGGCCCGCACAAGCAGUGGAGUAUGUGGUUUAAUUCGACGCAACGCGAAGAACCUUACCAAGUCUUGACAUCCUGCGACGAUGCUAGAAA